rnacentral:misc_RNA from 7 species
ACAUGAGGAUCACCCAUGU